rnacentral:rRNA from 1 species
CCUACGGGGGACAGCAGUGAGGAAUAUUGGUCAAUGGACGAGAGUCUGAACCAGCCAAGUAGCGUGAAGGAUGACUGCCCUAUGGGUUGUAAACUUCUUUUAUAUGGGAAUAAAACGCUCCACGUGUGGGAUUUUGUAUGUACCAUAUGAAUAAGGAUCGGCUAACUCCGUGCCAGCAGCCGCGGUAAUACGGAGGAUCCGAGCGUUAUCCGGAUUUAUUGGGUUUAAAGGGAGCGUAGGUGGAUUGUUAAGUCAGUUGUGAAAGUUUGCGGCUCAACCGUAAAAUUGCAGUUGAAACUGGCAGUCUUGAGUACAGUAGAGGUGGGCGGAAUUCGUGGUGUAGCGGUGAAAUGCUUAGAUAUCACGAAGAACUCCGAUUGCGAAGGCAGUUCACUGGACUGCAACUGACACUGAGGCUCGAAAGUGUGGGUAUCAAACAGGAUUAGAUACCCUAGUAGUC